AGAAUCAACGCUGGCGGCGUGCCUAACACAUGCAAGUCGCACGAGAAAGGGGAGCAAUCCCUGAGUACAGUGGCGGCACGGGUGAGUAACACGUGAAUAAUCUACCUCCGAGUGGGGAAUAACUGAGAGAAAUCUUAGCUAAUACCGCAUAACACUUACGAGUCAAAGCAGCAAUGCGCUUGGAGAGGAGUUCGCGGCCGAUUAGUUAGUUGGCGGGGUAAUGGCCCACCAAGACGAUGAUCGGUA
rnacentral:rRNA from 1 species